UAUUGGACAAUGGGGGAAACCCUGAUCCAGCGACGCCGCGUGAGUGAAGAAGUAUUUCGGUAUGUAAAGCUCUAUCAGCAGGGAAGAAAGAAAUGACGGUACCUGAAGAAGAAGCCCCGGCUAACUCCGUCACAGCAGCCGCGGUAAUACGUAGGGGGCAAGCGUUAUCCGGAUUUACUGGGUGUAAAGGGAGCGUAGACGGCGGGGCAAGUCUGGAGUGAAAGGCCGGGGCCCAACCCCGGGACCGCUCUGGAAACUGCCCGGCUGGAGUGCGGGAGAGGUAAGCGGAAUUCCUAGUGUAGCGGUGAAAUGCGUAGAUAUUAGGAGGAACACCAGCGGCGAAGGCGGCUUACUGGACCGUGACUGACGUUGAGGCUCGAAAGCGUGGGGAGCAAAC
rnacentral:rRNA from 1 species